ACAUUGGUGGUUCGGUGGCAGAAUCCUCGCCUUUCAUGCAGGAGACCCAGGUUUGACUCCUGGCCAAUGUA
rnacentral:tRNA from 1 species